AGUGAACGCUGGCGGUAGGCCUAACACAUGCAAGUCGAACGGCAGCACAGUAAGAGCUUGCUCUUACGGGUGGCGAGUGGCGGACGGGUGAGGAAUACAUCGGAAUCUACUUUUUCGUGGGGGAUAACGUAGGGAAAUUUACGCUAAUACCGCAUACGACUUACGGGUGAAAGCAGGGGAUCUUCGGACCUUGCGCGAUUGAAUGAGCCGAUGUCGGAUUAGCUAGUUGGCGGGGUAAAGGCCCACCAAGGCGACGAUCCGUAGCUGGUCUGAGAGGAUGAUCAGCCACACUGGAACUGAGACACGGUCCAGACUCCUACGGGAGGCAGCAGUGGGGAAUAUUGGACAAUGGGCGCAAGCCUGAUCCAGCCAUACCGCGUGGGUGAAGAAGGCCUUCGGGUUGUAAAGCCCUUUUGUUGGGAAAGAAAAGCAGCAGGUUAAUACCCCGCUGUUCUGACGGUACCCAAAGAAUAAGCACCGGCUAACUUCGUG
rnacentral:rRNA from 1 species